UACGUAGGGGGCGAGCGUUGUCCGAAGUUACUGGGCGUAAAGCGCGCGUAGGCGGCCAUUUAAGUCUGGGGUGAAAGGUUCAGCGCUCAACGCGAACAGUGCCUUGGAUACUGGGUGGCUUGAGUUCGGGAGGGGGCAGUGGAAUUCCUGGUGUAGCGGUGAAAUGCGUAGAUAUCAGGAGGAACACCGGUGGCGAAGGCGGCUGCCUGGCCCAGAACUGACGCUGAGGCGCGACAGCGUGGGGAGCGAACAGG
rnacentral:rRNA from 1 species